CUGGUUGAUCCUGCCGGAGGCUACUGCUAUUGGAAUCCGAUUAAGCCAUGCGAGUCUAAAGGACUUCGGUCCUUGGCGGACGGCUCAGUAACACGUGGAGAACCUGCCCUCAGGAGGGGGAUAACCCCGGGAAACUGGGAAUAAUACCCCAUAGGUCUAGGAUGCUGGAAUGCUUCUAGGCUGAAAGCUCCGGCGCCUGAGGAUGGCUCUGCGGCUUAUCAGGUUGUAGUGAGGGUAACGUCCUCACUAGCCUAUGACGGGUACGGGCCCUGAGAGGGGAAGCCCGGAGAUGGACUCUGAGACACGAGUCCAGGCCCUACGGGGCGCAGCAGGCGCGAAAACUCCGCAAUGCUCGAAAGAGUGACGGGGGGAUUCCAAGUGCCUACGCUCAGCGUAGGCUGUUCAGAUGCCUAAAAAGCAUCUGGAGUAAGGGCUGGGUAAGACGGGUGCCAUCUGCAGUGGUAGCGAAAGAUUUGGCUUGCUACUGCAAGGCAUAAGCCGCCGCGGUAAUACCCGCAGCUCGAGUGGUAGUCGAUUUUAUUGGGCCUAAAGCGUCCGUAUCCGGUCUGGUAAAUGCUUGGGUAAAUCGUCUGGCUUAACCAGACGAAUUCCGGGUAGACUACCAGACUUGGGACCGGUUGAGGAAGAGGGUACUUCAGGGGUAGGAGUGAAAUCCUGUAAUCCUUGAAGGGCCACCAGUGGCGAAGGCGCUCUUCUAGGACGGGUCCGACGGUGAGGGACGAAAGCCAGGGGAGCAAACCGGAUUAGAUACCCGGGUAGUCCUGGCCGUAAACGAUGUGGGCUUGGCAUUGGGGGUUCUACGUGAGCGCCCAGUGUCGUAGCGAAGGCGUUAAGCCCACCGCCUGGGAAGUAUGGUCGCAAGGCUGAAACUUAAAGGAAUUGGCGGGGGAGCACAGCAACGGGAGGAGCGUGCGGUUUAAUUGGAUUCAACGCCGG
rnacentral:rRNA from 1 species